UUCCAACACUGCCCCUAAUGCCACUUCGUCAUUUUUUCAGUCGCCAUUGUUCUCGUUCUCGGCCGUCGAAUUUGUGGAAAUAAACGUAUUUCCCAUUUAAAUUCGCUGCAAUAAUCACAAUAGCGAACUGCAAAACACAACACAAGCCGAGUGCGUGUCGAUUUCCAGUAAUUCGGAGCGCGCAAGUCGAAUAAACACGCUCUAAACAUCAGCCAAUACAGGGCCAGAAAUCGAAUAUUUGUUCGUGGCAAAUAUAUAAUCUUGUGAAAAAGCCAGAAAAUGUCAUCUGUGAAUCCGGAAUACGACUAUCUCUUUAAGUUGCUGCUCAUUGGAGACUCGGGCGUUGGAAAGUCCUGUCUUCUGCUGCGAUUUGCCGAUGACACAUAUACAGAAAGCUAUAUCAGCACAAUUGGAGUGGAUUUCAAAAUCAGGACCAUCGAACUCGACGGAAAGACCAUUAAACUACAAAUCUGGGAUACUGCUGGCCAGGAGCGCUUCCGCACCAUCACGUCUUCAUAUUAUAGAGGAGCCCAUGGCAUCAUUGUCGUAUACGAUUGCACGGACCAAGAGUCUUUUAACAAUGUAAAGCAGUGGCUGGAGGAGAUCGAGCGGUAUGCCUGUGAGAAUGUCAACAAGUUGCUGGUGGGCAACAAGAGCGACUUGACCACCAAGAAGGUAGUCGACCACACCACAGCUGCGGAGUACGCCGCCCAGUUAGGCAUUCCAUUCCUUGAAACAUCGGCCAAGAGCGCCACCAACGUGGAGCAGGCCUUCAUGACGAUGGCGGCCGAGAUCAAGAAUCGCGUCGGGCCGCCAUCCAGCGCCACCGACAACGCUAGCAAAGUGAAAAUCGAUCAAGGACGUCCAGUGGAAAACACCAAAUCCGGUUGCUGCUGAAUAACUCUGAUUGUGAAUCAUUAUUUUAUUAUACAAUUAAACAAAAUUUAAAUAUAAUAAAUUAAAACGGAAACCACACAAUAAUAAUAAAACAAGCGAAACCGAUGGCGGAUCCACGAAAUCGUAAUUAUAAUAACUAAUUCUGUAAUAACAAUAAUGGUGAGAAAUGACGAGUAGUGCGUUUGUACGUAGCCAACCAGAUCCAAAUUCAGACUUCAGACAUCCCCAACCAAAACAGAAACAACAAAGGCAUCGAUCCUAAUACUAACCGUCACUCUGAUUUCCGCAGUUCUGUUCAUAAGUAGUGCAAAGCAAGCUAAUUCGGUGUAGCAAUAACCUAAUAUUACUUUAACCUAUAGUAAGAAGUUACCUAUCACAGCAGCGCGAAACAAUACCGAAACUAAUAUGUACUAUUAACUACAGAUUAAUUGAGCGCAGGCGACGGCAGGAGCAAUUAUACUUGCCCUGUGUCAGCUACUACUUACCACUAUGUAUACAUAUGUAUGUGUUUAAAUUACAAAUUCAAUUUUCUAAACAUAUUAUCUCUAGCGAACGUGAUCGCCAAUUGUCUCAGUCAUCUUGAAAUUUUAUGUAAAUCGAACCCAAAACCGAACGAACAUUUUUAGAAUUAACGUCGAAUGAUUUUGUGUUUGAAUUUUCGUGUGACACAAGGGAUUUGUUAAGGCACAUAAUUAGUGUAAUAAUGACGACAGCGAUAAAGUUUAAUAAAAAUGAUUGCGUGUGCGUUUAUAAAUUGAAAGGUUUGGGAUCAAGGAGACACUUUAGUUUCGGUUUUAACCGUCGCCCGAAUUUGGAUCUUAACUUCACUUAAGUCUAAUAAAAUCGAUCUGUACCGAUGCCUAUAAA
rnacentral:misc_RNA from 1 species